CAAACAAGCGACAGUAGUUCUCUGGACUUCUACUGUAAUUAUCUUGCGAAGAAGAGAAGUGGCGAAGAGAGAGCCCCUGUGUGUGGAGCAGUGCUCGGAUGAGCUGCUGGAGGAGAGGCGCUCAGCAGAAACACAGCCCAUGCUGCCUCCCCCAGCCCUCAAGCUCGGGACCCAGCAGGUUCUCCGUGUUUCUUUCAUUGAUAAACCGCCUUUUGCACGCUGCAGAGAGCGCGUUCAAACUAGUCAUUGCCGCGGCAAUGUGCUUCGGAAACGGGCAGAAGACCAGCCGUGGAUAACCAGCCACCAGCCCUCUGACGGGGCCGGCCAGGGUGUGUGUCUGCAGGCGCCCGAGCGAUGCAGGCUCGCCAGCGGGCUCUGCCGGCCUGGAUGGUGAGGAGGAGAGAGGAGAGGGAGGCAGGAUCGACAGAGACCAGGGCUCCUUCCCCGCAGAGGGGCAAAAGGAAGAGAGCUGAGAGGGUCACGGUAUACUGCAUGAACGAGGCUGAGCUGGUGAAGACGGCCAUGGAUUUCCUGGCUGGGAGGAGGGGCCCAGCAACGGUGGGAAAGGCGCCUGAGGAGAGCACAACAGGAAGCUGUAAGAAAGAACAGAGAAACUGGGUUUCAGACUCGGACCUGGAGGAGGAGGAGGACCUGGCAGACUCAGAACCAAGCGACAGGUCUCAUGUGUCUGAAUCGGACCUGGAUGGGGUUGCAGAGGAAGAAACCAUUCCCAUUAUAGGCAGUGGAGGAUGCCAAGCAGAAGAUAAAAAGAGGGCCCGAAUGACAGACACACAGCUGGUCACAGAGGGCCAGAGGGAUGCGGAGCAGAUGGGCCAGCCAGCCCCUGGGGAGACGACGCAGCCAGGCGAGAACAGUCCGGGAGGAUACGAAAGCCCCCAGCGCCAUCUCAAAGCACAGGCAAACACACAGCAUGAAGGAGAGCGUAAUCUUUGACAGGUGAAAAUAUUCCCAGGUGGCACCAACGAAAAACAAGAUGCCAGCAAACAUCAGGAUGCUUGAAGAGCCUUGAAGGGCCACACCGAGACCCCAGGAGCUGCUGUCCGGAGAAUAAAUCCCAAACGCCAGACUCAUCAUGGCAAACGGGAUGAGCACGAGCGUGGGGUAAAUGCACAGUAUGGCUAUAAAGAGCAUGGGACUCGAGACGCUGUGCUGCAAGUCACCCGCAGGGGAGAGAUUCGCCUGGCGAUGGUGGAUUCCGUAUGGGCUGAUGGAUGCUUCGUCCAGCUGUAUGAACUCCCCGCGUUCAAAGAUCAGGCUGAACAGCAGCUGGGCCGUGACCGCCAGGUUGAGGACCCACAGCAGGGCCAACAGCUGCUUUCUUCUUCCAUGCACAGAGUACUCCGACAUGGUCUUCCAGCAGUGAGCGGGACAAGAACAAGCCACGCGUUUUGCCUUUCCUGGGAUCGUGCCUGUUACAGGGGAAGAAAUGAUCAUGAAGCUCAUAGGUUUCAUUUAUUUUACAAAGAAUAAUCAGUGGUUUUCUCUUACUUUAGCAGUGAAUGUGCUGUGUAUGGGGAUGAUUCCCACACAUAUUCAUAGCCCAUGUGUAGAUUCAUCCAAAAGAAAGUGAAACACACGUUUAACAGUGUUUUUGUAAUGUCAGUCGUGCUGUGCAGUCCCUACCCACCGAAGCACCCAAAUUGAUCCUGGGUGAUUUUAACCACUGCAACCUCAGAAAGUCUUUGAACAGUUUCUACCAAUUUGUGGACCGGCCAACUCGUACCAACAGAACCCUGGCUUCGUGCUACAGCACCGUGCUCUGCGCGCCAGCCUGUUUCAGUUUAUUCAAAUGAUAUAAGCAAAUCGCUGGUCAGACUGGGAAACAACACUACCCAAAGUCUUAACAUGCACGGUGUUAAGAAACUUUUCAACCAGAAAAUAAGUAAUGAGAUGUGUUUACAAUCAAAACACAAAAUGUGUCCGAUUCAACAUGUCAAAGAGGGACAUGUUUUGAUUUGAAACACAUUUCAUUACUUUUUGAGGGUGAAAGUUUGUUGGUUUUGGCUGCCCUCUCCUCCCGUCUCAGACAUUCCUGUCUCUUAUUGAUGAACUUUAUCAUCGCUUAUCAAGACUAAGCAAAGCUUUUACACAUGAAAAUAAAGAUAGGAAUGACAAAAGAUCUAAUAAAUCAAAAAUUAAGAAGACUAAAAAGAUUAAGAAGCUUGACCCCUUAACUUCAGUGUGCGUUGUUUAUAUUGUGUUUUUUAUUGGAACCUGUGAAAUGUUACUUAUCUCCCUGAUAUCGAGAUGUUGUAAACAUGCAAGUUACUUUAUGAAUUUCUCCGUCAGCACUUUUUGUUCCUUCUCUGCUAUCGACACCACGGUAGUUCACAGAAAAUAAAAAGCCUGGUCCUUUGGAAACAGACUACAGAACCCAGGGGUCCUUGCCUUCUGUAAAAACAGUCGGGAUUAACUUUCCUCCUUUUAUUAUUAAUUAAAGCUACAGUAUUUGUAUAGCUACACAGGAUGUCAAGCUACUGUAAUAACGUCGUUUAAGUAAACGUCCCCGGUUCGCACAAGAUCUGGGCUGUAAACCUUCACUGCACAAUAUUUCACGAACAAGCUGAAAGGCAGAACUAAUCGGGGAAACAACCUGUUUUAUCCAUCUAAGCAAAGUGCCAAAUGAAAAUACAUUUAUUGAUAUAGCACAGAAACUUAAACCCCCACUAAACUUCGCGUUUUAUUCUGAAAAGUGAAACCGUAUCUGCAAGUAUGCCAGUGCUUGUUUUUAAAAAGCGUAACGUUUCAUUUUUUAAUUAUAAUAUAAAAGAAGUCAACUUACGAAUCGAGACUAAAGACGAGGCGCAGCAGAUCAGACGAGUUUCAUUAUGACAACGAGAUUCAAUAAUGCCCAGUUUUCUGCAAACAAACAGGAAACUGUGUUUUCAUCUGUUCUUGUGACACCUCUGACGCCUCGGUUAAAAAUCUACUUAUUAUCGGUUUUACUUUUACUUGCAGUUUCUAGUCCCCAGCCCUACUCCCUCCCGGAGAGCCCCAGUAUUACAGGUUUUGUGGGUCGCCAGUAAAUUACCAGUUGCUAAAGACUCUAGACAACUUCUCGGUCGCCAUUUAAGCAGGGGAUGCGCUAAAUUCAGUUAUUUAGGGUCAAUUGCACCAAACUUUCGGACUUUAGUGCGGAGCUGCGUAAUUACCUCAGGAUCAUCCUUGGUCAGCCCGCAGCUUUCAGUUUCGAUGCAGCUGACCCUCACAGCUCAAUAGGAGCCGAGCCCGGAAUAUCCGCCAGCCCUAAGGGAAAGGAGUCCUGGGUAUUGACUUUUCAGGUGUUUAAUUACAAACAGGUGACGCAUAAGACUAACUGGACUGGACUCUCCAAGACUGGGGGAGUAGGGCGGACCCCUUCCAUUAGCGCAAAAAUAUUUAUUUUAUAAAGAGAUAACAGUAUUUUGAAGCUUUACUUCCACAUUAAUGGACAUUUUAGGAAAUUCACAAAAUGCACAUUCAUGUUUGUUUGUUUUUUUUCUGGUUGAAGAGCAUAGCACAGUUCCCGAGUGUAUUAAGAAUGUAAAGGAGACAUACAUUAUGCUACUGCAAGAGACAUGGUGUCAGAGAGACGUGCACCUGCUGUCCCCCGGGCUACAAGCAGAUCAUAGCGCAGCCCUCCGUUAAAAACCCAAAUCACUCGCGCAGAGACUCUGGAGGGAGUGGCGCUCAAGUCACUCCUGGCAGCCUGUGAAGAGAGAAGAGUCAAAAUCAACAGAAACAUCAGUAAUCGAGGUUUUCCAGUGUGCAGUCUGCGUUUCCCUAUGCAGAGGCGCCUUGCUACAGUGAGGGAAUCGAUGUACUGU
ensembl:lincRNA